AGUGAACGCUGGCGGUAGGCCUAACACAUGCAAGUCGAACGGCAGCACAGUAAGAGCUUGCUCUUACGGGUGGCGAGUGGCGGACGGGUGAGGAAUACAUCGGAAUCUACUUUUUCGUGGGGGAUAACGUAGGGAAACUUACGCUAAUACCGCAUACGACCUACGGGUGAAAGCAGGGGAUCUUCGGACCUUGCGCGAUUGAAUGAGCCGAUGUCGGAUUAGCUAGUUGGCGGGGUAAAGGCCCACCAAGGCGACGAUCCGUAGCUGGUCUGAGAGGAUGGUCAGCCAACCUGGAACUGGGACACGGUCCAGACUCCUACGGGAGGCAGCAGUGGGGAAUAUUGGACAAUGGGCGCAAGCCUGAUCCAGCCAUACCGCGUGGGUGAAGAAGGCCUUGGGGUUGUAAAGCCCUUUUGUUGGGAAAGAAAAGCAGCAGGUUAAUACCCCGCUGUUCUGACGGUACCCAAAGAAUAAGCACCGGCUAACUUCGUG
rnacentral:rRNA from 1 species